AUGAAUCAAUCCCUUUAUGCGUUACCUCUGAUAUGCCUUUUUUUAUAUCUAAGAGGCUUCUGUGUGUUUGCUAUUUAUUUUGUAGCUCUUGUUAAUGCAGCACGCGAAUCUAGUGCUGCUCAGAUAAAUCAGCUGCAGUCUGCAUUGAAGAGCAUUGCUUAUGAAAUUGAAUUGCUGGAUGAGAAGCAAACCCUUUGUGAAAGACAGAAUGCUGCACUGUGUGAGGAACAAGAAUACUUGCAGACACAGCAUAAAAGAAGAGUAGACUUGCUGAAUGAAAGGAUGGCAACAAAAAUUAACACAAAUAUUCUGUUAAUUGAGACUUACAAUAAAACAAGGGAGACAGAAAGAGAAAUAAUCAGGGCAAAGGCAGCGUUAGAGGAAUUAAAAGAAAAAAUAGCUGAAAAAAUAAGUAAACUUGAGAAAGAGAAUGAAGAAUGUGAUGAAAAGGUAAAGGUUUUGAAAUGUAUUUCAGUUUUACAGAUGGUUAUAUAGUGCCAAAAAUGAAAUGCUCUUUGAAUUUGUGCUGAGUGUUGGGUUUAGCUUUCUCAUACGGAGCUCACUUAGAUCUCCAUAGCAGCCAAACACAAAAAUGACUCUUGUCAUUGGGAGUGCACAGGCACAAACUGACUCUUUUGACUUCUGCGUACAUGUGUUUGUGUAUUCGUGUGUGUGUGGUGUAUAUGUAGACACACAAACGUGCACAUCAAAAUCAAAUGGUAUAUGGAAUUUGUUUCCUAGUAGUGCAUCUCAGGAUGUCAUGUCUGUACUGGUUGUUUUUACUGGGUGUAGGAUAAAUAAUCAUAUGCUGGAAUUUCACCCCUCCAGACACACUUCUUAAAAUAAAGGUACCUAUAUUUACCAGCAAACUCUGUGAUAAGUUUUCACUGUUUAUUUAUUUAUUUUAUCCUGCCCUACUUUCGGUUGCAUAUAUCUGGUAUCGUUUCUGAAUGCUAACAUAAAAAUAGAUGAAUAGAUUAAAAGAAAACUUCCAAGUAGAAAACAUUUUUCUGCAGAACAGAACUGUAGCUGUGUUCCUA
rnacentral:lncRNA from 1 species